GGGGAAUUUUCCGCAAUGGGCGAAAGCCUGACGGAGCAAUACCGCGUGAGGGAGGAAGGCUCUUGGGUUGUAAACCUCUUUUCUCAGGGAAGAAAACAAUGACGGUACCUGAGGAAUAAGCAUCGGCUAACUCCGUGUCAGCAGCCGCGGUAAUACGGAGGAUGCAAGCGUUAUCCGGAAUGAUUGGGCGUAAAGCGUCCGCAGGUGGCUGUGUAAGUCUGCUGUCAAAGAGCAAAGCUCAACUUUGUAAAGGCAGUGGAAACUACACGGCUAGAGUGCGUUCGGGGCAGAGGGAAUUCCUGGUGUAGCGGUGAAAUGCGUAGAGAUCAGGAAGAACACCGGUGGCGAAGGCGCUCUGCUAGGCCGCAACUGACACUGAGGGACGAAAGCUAGGGGAGCGAAUGGGAUUAGAUACCCCAGUAGUCCUAGCCGUAAACGAUGGAUACUAGGCGUGGCUUGUAUCGACCCGAGCCGUGCCGUAGCUAACGCGUUAAGUAUCCCGCCUGGGGAGUACGCACGCAAGUGUGAAACUCAAAGGAAUUGACGGGGGCCCGCACAAGCGGUGGAGUAUGUGGUUUAAUUCGAUGCAACGCGAAGAACCUUACCAAGGCUUGACAUGUCGCGAAUCUUCUUGAAAGGGAAGAGUGCCUUCGGGAGCGCGAACACAGGUGGUGCAUGGCUGUCGUCAGCUCGUGUCGUGAGAUGUUGGGUUAAGUCCCGCAACGAGCGCAACCCUCGUUUUUAGUUGCCAGCACUUAGGGUGGGCACUCUAGAGAGACUGCCGGUGACAAACCGGAGGAAGGUGGGGAUGACGUCAAGUCAGCAUGCCCCUUACGCCUUGGGCUACACACGUACUACAAUGCUCCGGACAGAGGGCAGCAAGCUAGCGAUAGCAAGCUAAUCCCAUAAACCGGAGCUCAGUUCAGAUCGCAGGCUGCAACUCGCCUGCGUGAAGGAGGAAUCGCUAGUAAUUGCAGGUCAGCAUACUGCAGUGAAUUCGUUCCCGGGCCUUGUACACACCGCCCGUCACACCAUGGAAGCUGGUAGUGCCCGAAGUCAUUACUCCAACCUUUCGGGGGGGAGGAUGCCUAAGGCAGGACUGGUGACUGGGGUGAAGUCGUAACAAGGUAGCCGUACCGGAAGGUGUGGCUGGAUCACCUCCUUUUUAGGGAGACCUACACCCCUCAGAAAUCGAAAAACAUACAGUUAAAUAGAUACUGAGUUGGUCUAACCUAGGUCGGUCGAGAUUGGUAGAUAACUUUCAAAGUAUUACUGGUUCAGUAUAUAUAAACUUUUCUAAAAAGCUAGUGUAAUUGAGAAAUCAGCAACAUGACAGUGGUGUCAGACUGCUGAGUUAGUUCUCAGCCAGAACCUUGAAAAGUGCAUAGUAACGCGAAAUUAGCAGGCAGACACAGACAUUCUUUCGAGAAUGAAAAGUGAAUGCGGAUGUA
rnacentral:misc_RNA from 1 species